CCUACGGGACGCACCAGUAGGGAAUCUUCGGCAAUGGACGAAAGUCUGACCGAGCAACGCCGCGUGAGUGAAGAAGGUUUCCGGAUCGUAAAACUCUGUUAUCAGAGAAGAACAAGUAGGAGAGUAACUGCUCUUACCUUGACGGUAUCUAACCAGAAAGCCACGGCUAACUACGUGCCAGCAGCCGCGGUAAUACGUAGGUGGCAAGCGUUGUCCGGAUUUAUUGGGCGUAAAGCGAGCGCAGGCGGUCUUUUAAGUCUGAUGUGAAAGCCCUCGGCUCAACCGAGGAAGGUCAUUGGAAACUGGAGGACUUGAGUGCAGAAGAGGAGAGUGGAAUUCCAUGUGUAGCGGUGAAAUGCGUAGAUAUAUGGAGGAACACCAGUGGCGUAGGCGACUCUCUGGUCUGUAACUGGCGCUGAGGCUCGAAAGCGUGGGGUGCAAACAGGAUUAGAUACCCUCGUAGUC
rnacentral:rRNA from 1 species